UUCCAUAUCUUUAACACCCCACUCAAAUUAAUGCUGCUAAAGGCAUCAAUUUGCAAUCUUGAACUGAGACAGUGACAAUACUUGUGUCCACGAAGAAGAAAUCUAAAUCAGAGCAAUCAAGUGAUCAACUAUAAAAACUAGUGACGACGAGAGAUCAAGAACAACAAAAUAGUGCAGAAAAAACUAAGAACAAUUCUAAAGCCACUCCAAGAACACUCAAGAGAGCUUACUUCCCAAGAAAAAUUUCCAAAAGAAAUUCACGAAGUGUGCCGACACACACAAUGAGUUCUAUCUGUCGGGAGAACUUAGCCGAACACAUAAUUCGUGUUUCGACAAAAGUUCUAAUGCCAAUAUACCGACCAAGAUUCCAACAAUAUAUUGCUUGCCAAGAUGCUGUAUUUGGGAGAAAUCCUACAAAAUAGCCUACACCACAAAAACUCAAAGAUAAUCCUCCUUCGAGAAUCCAAAACUCUUGCUCAUACCCGAGCAACCAAAAUUCAACGGUCUGCACUACCAUGUCUCUCACAUCUCUACUAUACACACGAAGCACUGUAGAAAGGGAAAAAGAUUAGUCAAAGCCUAAUCAACGCAUAAUCUUGAUAAAGCCCACUCAUCGAACAACAAUAAGCUUUAAAUUUUGAAAUAAUCCAAGAAAACAACAAUCUACUAUUACGACCACCCGAUUUGAAGCACCAACACCACCAAGAAGGGCUUCAGAAAAUUUUCUUUCGAUAGUCUCCUUGUAACCAGUAUGUACCUUGUCGUCCAACUAUAAGAAAAAGUGAACACAAGUGCAGGCAGACCACACAUUUGGACUUGCUGAUUCACUCCAGCCCUAUCGACUGCAACAAAAAAAACUCUAAUUGAAGGUACAGUAAAUGCAUUACAGCAUCAAAGUUCAGCAGCUAUAUGUUCAGAAGCAAGAGAUGAUCUCUGGACCCAAAUCUGGCCCAAAUCCACAAAUAAUUCAACAUAGGGCAGCUAAAUAUGCCCACAAAAGGUAGCCCAUGAGAACAAUCCAAUAACCCCAAACCAUAUAACAAUCCAAAUCAGCAGCCCACCCAAAAUAACUUUCUCAAAGAUAGCCCAUUAAUGAAAGCACACGACAAAUAUAUCCCUAGGUCCAAUAACCCAAACCCAAUCAAUAACCCAAUCCAACUCCUCAAUCUUCUCCACUCAAGCAGUGGUGGUCGCCACCUCUUUAGAGGUGUUUUAAAUUUAAGCAUGAGGUAACUAACUAAUGCAUGAUGUAUUUUAAAUUUAAGCAUGAG
rnacentral:lncRNA from 1 species